GCUUAGGCAGGCGGCGGGGCGGCUAGAGUGCCCUGGGGAGGGCUGUGCCGGGUUGCUUUCUGCAGCCGCGUCUCGGCCAGCUCUCCUCGCCGUCCCAGGGGCGCUGUGCGUCUCCAGUCCGGGACCGAAGCCGCCUGCCGUAGCGGGCGGCCAGAUCCGCGUCCCACCUCAGCGCCCGGAGGACAUGCGGGAGAGAGAAUGAGCCAGAGGGACACGCUGGUGCAUCUGUUUGCCGGGGUAUGUGGUGGUACAGUGGGAGCUAUUCUGAUAUGUCCACUGGAAGUUGUAAAAACACGACUGCAGUCAUCUUCUGUGACACUUUAUAUUUCUGAAGUUCACCUGAACACCAUGGCUGGAGCCAGUGUCAACCGAAUAGUGUCUCCUGGACCUCUUCAUUGCCUAAAGUUGAUCUUGGAAAAAGAAGGGCCACGUUCCUUGUUUAGAGGAUUAGGCCCCAAUUUAGUGGGGGUAGCCCCUUCCAGAGCAAUAUACUUUGCUGCUUAUUCAAACUGCAAGGAAAAGUUGAAUGAUGUAUUUGAUCCUGAUUCUACCCAAGUACACAUGAUUUCAGCGGCAAUGGCAGGUUUUACUGCAAUCACAGCAACCAACCCCAUUUGGCUUAUAAAGACUCGGUUACAGCUUCAUGCAAGGAACCGUGGGGAAAGGCGAAUGGGUGCUUUUGAAUGUGUUUGUAAAGUGUAUCAGACAGAUGGACUAAAAGGAUUUUAUAGGGGCAUGUCUGCUUCAUAUGCUGGUAUAUAGAGACUGUUACCCAUUUUGUUAUUUAUGAAAGUAUAAAGUAAAAACUACUGGAAUGUAAGACUGCUUCUACAAUGGAAAAUGAUGAAGAGUCUGUGAAAGAAGCAUCAGAUUUUGUGGGAAUGAUGCUAGCUGCUGCCACCUCAAAAACUUGUGCCACAACUAUAGCAUAUCCACAUGAAGUUGUAAGAACAAGACUAUGUGAAGAGGGAACAAAAUACAGAUCUUUUUUUCAGACACUAGCUUUGCUCGUUCAAGAAGGUGGUUAUGGGUCUCUUUACCGUGGUCUGACAACUCAUCUAGUGAGACAGAUUCCAAACACAGCCAUUAUGAUGGCCACCUAUGAAUUGGUGGUUUACCUACUCAAUGGAUAGCAGCAUGAGGGCUGCUGUACUACA